GGACAGGCUAGUCACGCUGCUGGAAAGAAGACGACAGGGAUGAUGCCGCAGACGAGUCUGAUGAAUUUUUCUUGCAAUGAUACAAGAACAUCCUGCACUGGGCUCAAAGAUGCCAGAGCUCAGGUACCAGAGAUGAUGGCAGUUCUUUUCCAGUGCAUAAAUAAUGUAUUGGCCGUAUACAUCUCCUGCUGGCAAUUGGCUACAGUAUGUCAUGCUGAGGAAUGCGAGAGAGCAACAAAUGAGCACUCCCUUGGCAGCCAGCAAUGAAGAGGCAGUUCAGCUGCCUAUAAAAUGCCAUCGGGCCAUAGUCACACCCUC